AAAAGUGCAAAAGGCAAAAAAUUUUGAGAAGAGACAACCAAGGAAAAAGAAAAUCUAAAUGAUGCUUUUGCAAUUGUUUUUGUUUUGCCCCGGUUUGGAAUAUGUCAAUGGCCUUUCAUUUUUCUUGAUUUAUUCCAUCAUACAUCUCAUGUCCUUAGUUCCAUACUGAUGAAGUUGGUUCAGCAUGCAGCAAACUCGACAGCAUGCAGGCCAUCAAGACCAAGUCAUGCAGGAGCUGCUGGAACGAGCUGAACUAUUCCUAUUUUGUUCAACUUGUAAUCUUAAGUUAAUGUAAUGUACUUUAGUUCAUUUAGAACUAUGUUAGGUUUAUGAUUGAUGUAUUUUGAUGACAAUUAAGCUGUUAAGUCAGCUUUGUUUAAGUGUGCAAGCUUAGUUUUUCAAGUUUCAAUGUAUUAGUGGUAGUAGGUGAUGAUUAGGUAUCAUUAUGCAGAUUUUGACAAGCAAAUUGCUUGGUUUAUGUAUUGGCAUUAUGCCAUUGUUCAACCUAUGAAUGAAAUUUAGUUUGUUCAUCAAUUUUCCUCUUCAUUUUCUUAGCUUUUUCCUUUCUUUCUUCUAGCUCGAAUUCUCUUGUUUGCUCAGCAAGUCUCGAGACUUGGUUGACAAGUUUGCACUGAUUCUGUUAAGUUUCAGUUACAGCACCAACAAUUGGUAUCUAGAGCCUAUUUCUUAAGGGAUCUGUUACACAAUUCCAUGGCUUCAUCAAGCUUUUCACCAGCUGCACCUCAAGUCUUCAAUGGAGAAGGCUAUCACAUAUGGGUGGUCAAGAUGAAGACCUACCUGCAGGCUUUCGAUCUGUGGGAGGUGGUCAACUCUGAUGUUGAACCAGAGCCACUUAGAGCUAAUCCAACAGUGGCUCAGAUCAGGCAGCAUGCUGAUGAAAGGACCAAGAGGCACAAAGCUAUGUCUUGCAUCCAAAACUCAGUGUCUGAUGUGAUUUUCACAAGGAUUAUGGCCUGUGAAUCACCAAAACAGGCCUGGGACAAGUUGCAGGAAGAGUUUCAAGGGACAGAGAGGACAAGGCAGCAACAGUUGUUAAACUUGAGGAGAGAUUUCGAGAAUUUGAAGAUGAAGGAAGAAGAAACUGUCAAGCAAUAUUCUGACAGGAUUAUGGCUGUGGUUAACAGCAUCAGGCUCCUUGGAGAGCAGUUCAAUGAAGCUAGGAUAGUGGAGAAGGUUAUAGCAACUCUGCCUGAGAGGUAUGAGGCAAAAAUCUCAUCUCUCGAGGACUCAAGGGAUCUGUCCACCAUCUCCCUGACAGAGUUAAUCAAUGCUCUAUAUGCUCAAGAGCAGAGGAGAGCAAGCAGACUGGAGGAGCACCAAGAAGGUGCCUUUCAGGCAAGAGCAAAUACUGCCUACAAAGGCAAGAAGGCCUGGAGAGACAAGCCAAAGAAUGAUGCUGCAAGGAGAGAAGGUCAGACUUGCAAGCACUGUAGAAAGGCUGGUCAUUCAGAAGAAAAAUGCUGGUUCAAUCCAGAUGCUGUGUGUCAGCAUUGUAAGAAGAAGGGUCAUGUUGAGAAAGUCUGCAAGAGUAAGACCAAAUCGAGGCAGAAUCAGUUUCAACAGAUGAAAGCUGAGGCUCGAGUAGCUAAGGAGGACAGUGACCAAGAGGAGUAAGUCUUUGCUGUGUCAUGCUCAGCUGCUCAGGAAAAGUCCUCAUCUGGUUGGCUCCUAGACAGUGGAUGCACCAACCACAUGACACCUGAUGCUGCAAUCUUCAAGUCUUUAGACAGAAGCUGCAGAACUAAAGUCAAGAUAGGAAAUGGUCAUUUUAUUCAAGCUGAAGGCAAGGGUGAUGUGCUGAUAUGCACCCUUACAGGUACCAAAGUGAUUUCAAAUGUGCUGUUGGUGCCUGAAAUUGACAGAAACCUGCUCAGCAUAGCUCAGUUGCUGGAAAAAGGUUAUUCAGUUGUGUUUAAAGACCACCAGUGCCAAAUCAGUGAUCCAAGUGGAUCCAAACUGAUGGCAGUCCCUAUGGCUGAUAAGAGCUUUGUGGUUGACUGGACAAAAAAGUCAGACAUUGCCUACACAGCCACUUCAGAUGAAUCCAAGCUGUGGCAUCAAAGACUGGGACAUGCCAACUUCAGAUCGAUGGCUCGAAUGGUCAGAGAGGACCUGGCUGAAAAUUUCAUCAACUCAGUGGACCAUGAUGAUGUAUGUGAUGUAUGUCAGCUAGGAAAGCAGGCCAGACUCCCAUUUCCCUCGAAUCAAGCCUGGAGAGCCUCUGAAAAACUCCAACUGGUGCAUACUGAUGUGUGUGGCCCUAUGAAGACUGAGUCAUUAAGUGGAAACAGGUAUUUCAUACUGUUUAUUGAUGAUUUCUCGAGAUAUUGCUGGAUUUACUUUUUAAAACAGAAAUCAGAGGUGGCCUCAGUGUUUUGGAAGUUCAAGACUGCUUCUGAGACUGAAACAGGCUGCAAGCUGAAGACCAUAAGGUCUGAUAAUGGGACUGAGUACACCUCAGCUCAGUUCCAAGCCUUCUGUGAUAAGGCAGGCAUCAAACAUCAACUUACCAACACAUAUACACCUCAGCAGAAUGGGGUAAGUGAAAGGAAGAAUAGGAGUUUGAUGGAUAUGGCCAGGUGCUUGAUGAUUCAGAAGAAUCUGCCUAAAGCACUAUGGGCAGAAGCAGUUAACACUGCAACAUACAUUCAAAAUAGACUUCCAACCAAGGCUUUGGAUCAAAAGACCCCAUUCGAGGCCUGGUUUAGCUUCAAGCCAUCACUGGCUCAUCUGAAGGUCUUUGGAUGCAUCUGUUAUGCACAUGUACCUGCUGUUAAAAGGGACAAAUUGUCUGAAAGGGCUCGACCUGGUGUUUUGGUGGGGUAUAGCACUGUUAAGAAGGGCUAUAGGAUUUUAGAUCCUUCAACAAACAAAGUGUCAAUAAGCAGGGAUGUGGUAUUUGAUGAGAGGUCAUGUUGGAACUGGGAAAGACAUGAACCUGAACAAGUUUCUGAAGAACUUGCAGCAGACCAAGCUGAGCCAGACCAAAAUGUCCCUGAAAUGGAUAUUGAUGAUGAACCAGUCAGAGGAACAAGGUCAUUGGCUGAGAUUUAUGAAAGGGCUCAUGUAGCCAUAGCUGAACCAAGCAACUUUGAAGAGGCUGAGGCUCAACAAGGGUGGAAGCAGGCAAUGACUGAGGAGAUCAGCAUGAUUGAGAAGAACCAGACCUGGAAAUUGGUUGAAAGGCCAGUUAAAAGGAAGGUGAUUGGGGUGAAAUGGGUGUACAAAGCCAAGCAGAAUGCUGAUGGUACCUUGAACAAGCUAAAAGCAAGGCUAGUUGUCAAGGGGUUCAGUCAGAGGUAUGGCUUGGACUACCUGGAGACCUUUGCACCAGUGGCCAGGCUCGACACCAUCAGACUGUUGAUUGCCUUAGCAGCACAGCUCGAAUGGAAGAUCCAUCAACUUGAUGUGAAAUCAGCCUUUCUGAAUGGUUUCUUAGAUGAAGACAUCUAUGUUGAACAACCACAAGGGUUUGAAAUAGCUGGCAGAGAGCAUAUGGUCUACAAACUGAAGAAGGCCCUAUAUGGAUUAAAACAGGCUCCAAGGGCUUGGUAUAGCAGAAUCGAUGGCUACUUGACUGAUCUGGGAUUCGAUCGAAGCAAGAGUGAGCCAACACUGUAUGUCAAGAAACAAGGGACACAAAUACAGCUCAUUGUAUCCCUGUAUGUUGAUGAUCUUCUAGUGACAGGAGGAGAUAAAGGAGUGCUGGCUGACUUCAAGACCAAGAUGCAAGAAGUGUUUGAAAUGUCUGAUCUUGGGGAGAUGUCAUAUUUUCUCGGAAUGGAGGUGUCUCAAGUACAGAAUGAGAUAAUUUUAAGCCAGAGAAGCUUUGCCACAAAGAUUCUGACCAGGUUCUCCAUGCAAAACAGCAAGGCAACUAAAACACCUGUUGCUGUUGGAGAAAAACUAUCGAGCCAAGGUGAUUUCAAGAAAGUUUGUGAAACAACCUACAGGAGUCUAGUUGGUUGCUUGCUAUACUUGACUGCCACUAGACCAGACAUCAUGUAUGCUGUAGGAUUGCUCUCAAGGUUCUUGCAUUGCUGCAAUGAGAAGCAUUUCCAAGCUGCAAAGAGAGUGCUAAGAUAUGUCAAAGGCACUUUAAACUAUGGUUUGAAGUACAGCAAAGAAGGAAAUCUGAAGCUGGUUGGCUACACUGAUAGUGACUGGGCUGGCUCGAUAGAUGACAUGAAAAGCACCUCAGGGUAUGCUUUUAACCUUGGUUCAGCCAUGUUUUGUUGGAGCUCAAAGAAGCAAAGUCUUGUAGCUCAAUCUACUGCUGAAGCAGAGUAUGUGGCAACAGCAAAUGCUGUCAACCAAGCCAUAUGGCUAAGGAAAAUAUUGGCUGACUUGAAUGUGCAUCAAAAUGAAGCUACUGAGAUCUUUUGUGACAACCAAUCUGCAGUAGCAAUUGCUAAAAAUCCAGUGUUCCAUGGAAGAACAAAACAUUUCAGCAUCAAGUUGCAUGUUGUUCGAGAAAUGGAGCAAGCUCAGGAAGUAAAGCUGAUCCACUGUAAUUCAGAGGAUCAACUUGCUGACAUUUUAACCAAAGCUCUUAGUGUCACAAGGUUCGAAUAUCUAAGAAAGAUGCUAGGUGUUUGCUCCAUGCAAACCAAGGAGGAGUGAUGAAGUUGGUUCAGCAUGCAACAAACUCGACAGCAUGCAGGCCAUCAAGACCAAGUCAUGCAGGAGCUGUUGGAACGAGCUGAACUAUUCCUAUUUUGUUCAACUUGUAAUCUUAAGUUAAUGUAAUGUACUUUAGUUCAUUUAGAACUAUGUUAGGUUUAUGAUUGAUGUAUUUUGAUGACAAUUAAGCUGUUAAGUCAGCUUUGUUUAAGUGUGCAAGCUUAGUUUUUCAAGUUUCAAUGUAUUAGUGGUAGUAGGUGAUGAUUAGGUAUCAUUAUGCAGAUUUUGACAAGCAAAUUGCUUGGUUUAUGUAUUGGCAUUAUGCCAUUGUUCAACCUAUGAAUGAAAUUUAGUUUGUUCAUCAAUUUUCCUCUUCAUUUUCUUAGCUUUUUCCUUUCUUUCUUCUAGCUCGAAUUCUCUUGUUUGCUCAGCAAGUCUCGAGACUUGGUUGACAAGUUUGCACUGAUUCUGUUAAGUUUCAGUUACAGCACCAACACAUACCUUGUAGUUGCUGUAAUUACAAACUAUGAAAUAUGAAGAACCCAAGUGUUGGAACAUUUCU
rnacentral:lncRNA from 1 species